UACGUAGGGCGCAAGCGUUAUCCGGAAUUAUUGGGCGUAAAGAGCUCGUAGGCGGUUUGUCGCGUCGAAUGUGAAAACCCGGGGCUCAACCCCGGGCCUGCAUUCGAUACGGGCAGACUAGAGUUCGGUAGGGGAGUCUGGAAUUCCUGGUGUAGCGGUGAAAUGCGCAGAUAUCAGGAGGAACACCGGUGGCGAAGGCGGGUCUCUGGGCCGAUACUGACGCUGAGGAGCGAAAGCGUGGGGAGCGAACAGG
rnacentral:rRNA from 1 species